UUCUGCUCACCAGAAUGGGACGGCAUUGUUUGUUGGCCCGAAGGACCCCCGGGAAAACUUGUAUCCACCGCCUGCCCAGAGUAUAUCCAUGACUUCAACCAUAAAGGACUAGCAUACCGUCGGUGUGACAACAACGGAACGUGGGAGCUGGCCACCGCCAACAAGACAUGGGCCAAUUAUAACGAGUGUGCAAAAUUCCUCUACCAUUACAACCACAGCCAUGAAAAGGAUGUCUUUCACCGUCUGUAUCUCAUCUACACAGUCGGGUACUCCAUCUCUCUGGGAUCACUCAUGGUGGCUGUCGUCAUCU